UACAGAGGGGGCAAGCGUUGUUCGGAAUUACUGGGCGUAAAGGGCGCGUAGGCGGCCCGCUAAGUCGAACGUGAAAUCCCCGGGCUCAACCCGGGAACUGCGUCCGAUACUGGCGGGCUUGAAUCCGGGAGAGGGAUGCGGAAUUCCAGGUGUAGCGGUGAAAUGCGUAGAUAUCUGGAGGAACACCGGUGGCGAAGGCGGCAUCCUGGACCGACAUUGACGCUGAGACGCGAAAGCGUGGGGAGCAAACAGG
rnacentral:rRNA from 1 species